rnacentral:rRNA from 10 species
ACAACUUUCAACAACGGAUCUCUUGGCUCUCGCAUCGAUGAAGAACGCAGCGAAAUGCGAUAAGUAAUGUGAAUUGCAGAAUUCAGUGAAUCAUCGAAUCUUUGAACGCACCUUGCGCUCCUUGGUAUUCCGAGGAGCAUGCCUGUUUGAGUGUCAUUAAA